UAAUUCUAGCACUUGGGAGACGGAGGCAGGAGGGCAACUGAGCUCAGGAUCUACGGGCUACAUAGCUAGACCCAGUCGCAUACCAAGUUUGAUGAGCAAGUGAGAAUUUAAGGAAAUUGUUUUUCAGUUCUGUGCUGCUAAACUGGAUAAAGAAUGCAGUGAUGAAGCCACUGAGAUCAGUAAAAAGGGUGUUUUAAAUGUUAGGGUAUGAGAGCCUGCAGGGAAUGCCACGCUAUUUAAAGUGCUAGCAAAGACUGAUGAAUAAGUACAAGUGAGAUGUUGGAGCUCAGGCAGUAAUUUCAUUGAAGCCAAAGGACCAUCGGUGUGGCCUCCAAGAAAAAAAACUUGAUGCCUGGCAACUGGGGUAUAAAACAUGGCCCUUCUGGGUAAGAAAAAUAAUUUGGGACAUCUUUAUUGAUUCCCUAACUUUCUUCAUCUGUAACUUAGGAGAAAAAAAAUCAAUACCCACUCUUACUCAGUUUGGGUAUGGAGUUAAAUGCCAAAUACAGUCUUCUACAAGCAAGGUAAUGCUUACUAUACUUUUCUUUUAAAUGGGGGUCUGACAAAUCACUCUGGAGUGAUUGCCUCUGCGUCAGUUCUUAAGGGAAGAAUUCUGGUAAUAAUACCUUAGACUGUCAAUUAGAAGUUAUGGCUGGGAAAUUAUUCUCCAAAACCUCAGUUGACUUUUGAGAGGUACAAAGGAUAACAGAAUAACAUUUGGGCAGUACCUGACUUUGAAGUUAAAAUGGGGGUGCAUUUAUGAGACAUACUCUUUUAAAAAGUAAUUAUGUACUUGUGGUUUGUGUGUAAUUAAGCCGAACAUUCCACUUGGUUUCUUAUUCUGUCAUUUUUUAGGUAUCAGAUGUCUCAUGUAGCUGGGGAUAUCUUGAUCUCACUGCCUCCAUCUCCCAAGUGUGUGCUCACAAGGGGCACCAUGCCCAGCUUCCUUGUGGUUUCUUGAACAAGAAACACAGAAGGUGAUUCUUCUCUUCUGCCACUAAUCUGUUGGAUAGUAAAUUUUGCUCUUGCCUUAAAGGAUAAUGGGCACAUGUAUAUAGCCUAUGAUAAUUUCAUAUAAUGUAGAUUUAUUAAAAAUCAAUAUAGGGCUGGAGAGGUGGCUCAGAGGUUAAGAGCACUGUCUGCUCUUCCAGAGGUCCUGAGUUCAAUUCCCAGCAACCACAUGGUGGCUCACAACCAUCUGUUAUGAGACCUGGUGCCCUCUUCUGGUGUGCAGAUAUACAUGGAAGCAGAAUGUUGUAUACAUAAUAAAUAAAUAAAAUCUUAAAAAUGACAAUAAUGUCAAAAAGUUCAUUUUCUAUGCUUUAAUGAUGAUCAUGAUGAUGAUGGCUAGGAUAGUUAACAUUUAUUGAGUGCUUACUACAAUCCAGUACUUAUAAAAAAAAUCUGUAUAUGACCUCAUUUGCUUUCUU
rnacentral:lncRNA from 1 species